GUGCAGUGCAAUGUGUUGUUUUACAGGGUCAGUCAUAGUAGUAUGAUAGGUGCAGUGUAAUGUGUUGUUUUACAGGCUCAGCCAUAGUAGUAUGAUAGGUGCAGUGAAAUGUGUUGUUUUACAGGGUCAGUCAUAGUAGUAUGAUAGGUGCAGUGAAAUGUGUUGUUUUACAGGGUCAGUCAUAGUAGUAUGAUAGGUGCAGUGUAAUGUGUUGUUUUACAGUCUCAGUCAUAGUAGUAUGAUAGGUGCAGUGAAAUGUGUUGUUUUACAGGGUCAGCCAUAGUAGUAUGAUAGGUGCAGUGAAAUGUGUUGUUUUACAGGGUCAGUCAUAGUAGUAUGAUAGGUGCAGUGAAAUGUGUUGUUUUACAGGGUCAGUCAUAGUAGUAUGAUAGGUGCAGUGUAAUGUGUUGUUUUACAGUCUCAGCCAUAGUAGUAUGAUAGGUGCAGUGAAAUGUGUUGUUUUACAGGGUCAGUCAUAGUAGUAUGAUAGGUGAAGUGAAAUGUGUUGUUUUACAGGGUCAGUCAUAGUAGUAUGAUAGGUGCAGUGUAAUGUGUUGUUUUACAGUCUCAGCCAUAGUAGUAUGAUAGGUGCAGUGUAAUGUGUUGUUUUACAGGGUCAGUCAUAGUAGUAUGAUAGGUGCAGUGUAAUGUGUUGUUUUACAGGGUCAGCCAUAGUAGUAUGAUAGGUGCAGUGUAAUGUGUUGUUUUACAGGGUCAGCCAUAGUAGUAUGAUAGGUGCAGUGUAAUGUGUUCUUUUACAGGGUCAGCCAUAGUAGUACGAUAGGUGCAGUGUAAUGUGUUGUUUUACAGGGUCAGCCAUAGUAGUACGAUAGGUGCAGUGUAAUGUGUUGUUUUACAGGGUCAGCCAUAGUAGUAUGAUAGGUGCAGUGUAAUGUGUUGUUUUACAGGGUCAGUCAUAGUAGUAUGAUAGGUGCAGUGUAAUGUGUUGUUUUACAGGGUCAGCCAUAGUAGUAUGAUAGGUGCAGUGUAAUGUGUUCUUUUACAGGGUCAGCCAUAGUAGUACGAUAGGUGCAGUGUAAUGUGUUGUUUUACAGGGUCAGCCAUAGU
rnacentral:lncRNA from 1 species